rnacentral:lncRNA from 1 species
UUGGAGUUGAUAUGACUUUGUAAGAGCUUUACAAAGUCAAGAUUUGUUUCGGAUGAUUUGGGUUUUAUGAAAUAAAUUAGGGUUUAUAUUUUGGGUGAUUUCAAGAGUUUUGUAAUAGAUCUAUGAGUGAAAUUUUGUGGGUUUAUGGUUAUAGUUGUGUUUAAUAUGUGUCAUGAAUUUGAGCUUGAUCUAAUGGUUGAAUUGAGGGAUAUUGAGGUUUAAGUAGGUCAAGGUCUCAGAAAGUAGAAUUUUAGGUCCAGUGGAGGUUUUUAAGAUUUCUUGCAAUCUACUAGUUGGAUUGGAGUGAAACUUGUAUGAGAGGAUAUUAGACUUAUUUUUCUAUGUCGAAUUUUGAGAUUAGUCGAACGGUGCAAAAGAGAGAUAUUGGCUCUGGAAGAUUGGCAUUAAGAUUGGAGAAGGAGGUCGGCCAAUAUCCGAGCGCAUUUUUGAGAUAAUCAUCAAUUUGGUAACUCCGAUCCUUUUCAAUUUUUUUGAGCUUGUUUUGAACUUAGUUUUUAAGAAGUGUGCAAAAUUUGAGUUAAGAUCAACGGUUUAUUCAUUAGUUAUUGAGGUUUAAAUGUGUUCUAGGAAUUAUUAGGGUUUGGUUUAGGGUUUGGUUUAGAAUUUGGUUUAAGAUUUGAUUAAAGUUUGGAUUAGGGUUUAAUUUAGGGUUUAAAAUUUAAGGUUUGGAUUAGGGUUUGAUUUAGGAUUAGAGUUUAGGAUUAGGAUUUAGGGUUAGGAUUUAGGAUUUGAUUAGGAUUUUAUUUAGGAUUUAGGGUUGAGAUUAGGGUUUGGUUUAGGAUUUAGGAUUUGUUUGGGGUUUGGUUUAAGGUUUGUUUAGGGUUUGAUCUAGGAUUUAGGAUUUUAUUAGGAUUUAAGAUUUAAUUAGUUUUGGCCUAAAGUUUGAAUGAAGUUCAAUAGGAUUUUAACUAGAAUUAAAUUAAGAUUGAAUUGAGAUGUAUUUGAGUGAUAUUUGUGAUCCUUCUAAUAUUUCUUUAAGAAUUCUUAUUGUUUGUUUGAAAUUUCUUUGAGGUUUUUUUGAAUUUGAUUAAGCUUGCUUAGCAUUAUUAUGAUCUAAUUAGAGCAUUGUUAGUAUUCUAUUAGAAUUAGGAUUUUGUUAUUACAAUUUCGAUUCUUCUUUCCAGAGCUAGAUGCCCGAAGCAUUCUCAAGCAAGACUUCACGUAUUACGACAACGUUAACUAUUACUUGAUAAAUCUUUA